CUGGGAAAAUCAUAAUUUAUCAUAACGUCUUCACCAGGAGCCCUAGACAACUCUUCAUUCCGUUAAGCUCAAACUGUCAAACUUGAAGCAAGCACAACCCACCACCUCCCAUCCGCAAAUAGAAUGUGAAAUGGAGGGCCUAAAAAUAGGAAUGGCCCCUUGGUUCCUAGCCUGGAGAUGAAGAAUGUGAGCCACCGUAACCCAGAAGAAGCUUUACUUGGCGGCCAACGACAGCCCGACAUCCGAUCUAAAUCCCAGCUGCUGUCAGGAUUGAAACUUUCCGGAGGGACUUACCUACCCUCGCGAGUAGAGCGACGCGCGACGAGUGUCGUAUCGUCGAUCGAGGUACAACCAAAAGUUCGGAAAAAGCUCUCUGGAGGGGCGGCCAAAAAUGGCGAGCUUGCGACAAAUCCGAGGAUAAAUCCACUCGUCUGCGCACGUAUUUUCGAUUAUCCAAAUCCAGGAUUUUGGGGAGGGGCGCUAUUCGCGCGCUCUAUCAGCUGGUACGCCUAUGUGCGCAGAAGAUCGCGCUGGCCACCGCGCAUCUCACUUUGGAUCCAAGUUUAAGGUCGCGAUGAUAAUUUUUACCAGGGAAAAUGUGGCUCCCAAGAAUAGGAUUCUGUUACGAUACGAGAGCAUCUAUUAAUAAUGAGUCAAAUACCGAAUCCCUCGACGAAAAAUAUCGGGUUCUCGUCAACAGUUUUUCUUUCCCAAAAUUCACAUUGAGGAAAAAAUGCAAAUUCACGGAUUUUUCAAAAAAAUAUCUCAAUCAAGGGUUUUUUAAAAUGUCGGUGGCUCCAGUUAUUUCCGAUGAAGUUCUCGUUAAUACCCCGCGAGGUCGGCGAACGUCUGGUCC